rnacentral:tRNA from 1 species
AGGGCUGUAGCUCAGUGGCAGAGCACUUGCUUAGCAUAUGUGAGACACUGGGUUCAAUCCUCAGCAGCACCA